CCUACAGGGGGCAGCAGUGGGGAAUAUUGCACAAUGGGGGGAACCCUGAUGCAGCAACGCCGCGUGGGUGAAGAAGUACUCCGGUAUGUAAAGCCCUGUCAGCAGGGAAGAAAAUGACGGUACCUGACCAAGAAGCCCCGGCUAACAACGUGCCAGCAGCCGCGGUAAUACGUAGGGGGCAAGCGUUAUCCGGAUUUACUGGGUGUAAAGGGUGCGUAGGCGGCAUAAUAAGUUAGAAGUGAAAUACCCAGAGCUUAACUCGGGUGCUGCUUCUAAGACUGUUGAGCUUGAGUGCGGGAGAGGUUAAUGGAAUGCCUAGUGUAGCGGUGGAAUGCGUAGAUAUUGGGAGGAACACCAGAGGCGAAGGCGAUUAACUGGACCGUAACUGACGCUGAGGCACGAAAGUGUGGGUAGCAAACAGGAUUAGAUACCCUGGUAGUC
rnacentral:rRNA from 1 species